GGUGAAAAGCACCCCGGAAGGGGAGUGAAAUAGAACCUGAAACCGUGUGCUUACAAGUAGUCAGAGCCCGUUAAUGGGUGAUGGCGUGCCUUUUGUAGAAUGAACCGGCGAGUUACGAUUUGAUGCAAGGUUAAGCAGUAAAUGUGGAGCCGUAGCGAAAGCGAGUCUGAAUAGGGCGUUUAGUAUUUGGUCGUAGACCCGAAACCAGGUGAUCUACCCUUGGUCAGGUUGAAGUUCAGGUAACACUGAAUGGAGGACCGAACCGACUUACGUUGAAAAGUGAGCGGAUGAACUGAGGGUAGCGGAGAAAUUCCAAUCGAACCUGGAGAUAGCUGGUUCUCUCCGAAAUAGCUUUAGGGCUAGCCUCAAGUGAUGAUUAUUGGAGGUAGAGCACUGUUUGGACGAGGGGCCCCUCUCGGGUUACCGAAUUCAGACAAACUCCGAAUGCCAAUUAAUUUAACUUGGGAGUCAGAACAUGGGUGAUAAGGUCCGUGUUCGAAAGGGAAACAGCCCAGACCACCAGCUAAGGUCCCAAAAUAUAUGUUAAGUGGAAAAGGAUGUGGCGUUGCCCAGACAACUAGGAUGUUGGCUUAGAAGCAGCCAUCAUUUAAAGAGUGCGUAAUAGCUCACUAGUCGAGUGACACUGCGCCGAAAAUGUACCGGGGCUAAACAUAUUACCGAAGCUGUGGAUUGUCCUUUGGACAAUGGUAGGAGAGCGUUCUAAGGGCGUUGAAGCAUGAUCGUAAGGACAUGUGGAGCGCUUAGAAGUGAGAAUGCCGGUGUGAGUAGCGAAAGACGGGUGAGAAUCCCGUCCACCGAUUGACUAAGGUUUCCAGAGGAAGGCUCGUCCGCUCUGGGUUAGUCGGGUCCUAAGCUGAGGCCGACAGGCGUAGGCGAUGGAUAACAGGUUGAUAUUCCUGUACCACCUAUAAUCGUUUUAAUCGAUGGGGGGACGCAGUAGGAUAGGCGAAGCGUGCGAUUGGAUUGCACGUCUAAGCAGUAAGGCUGAGUAUUAGGCAAAUCCGGUACU
rnacentral:rRNA from 1 species